UAGGUAUCCUUGUAAUUACUGAUUUUUCAG
rnacentral:piRNA from 1 species